GUGUGACCCAGGGAAUUCAGACCGUUAAUACAGGGAACUGAGGCGCUGGUGAAAAGCCCCUGGCCAGUCGGGUUCAGGACCACAAGCCCUUGUCACACAGCUCAGGACUAACCAAGAUCCCAGCACAGGCGCAGCCGUUACAGGCCCGGCUGGGAAAAGCCUCACGAGGGACGCGGCCAAGGCAGACGGGUUCGGUGAAUGUUCCUGCCCUGGGUCAGAAGGCAGUGGGUCGAAACAUUCGGCUCUAGCAGCUGUACCCGGCUUUCUGUUCGGCCAGUGACUGGGGGGGAUGUUAAAUACCAGAUGCUAAAGU